rnacentral:sRNA from 12 species
UACCGGCAUCCAAUUGGGGAUGACCGAAGGACCAAUCGGGGUCAACAGA